GAUGAACGCUGGCGGCGUGCCUAAUACAUGCAAGUCGAGCGAACAGACAAGGAGCUUGCUCCUCUGACGUUAGCGGCGGACGGGUGAGUAACACGUGGAUAACCUACCUAUAAGACUGGGAUAACUUCGGGAAACCGGAGCUAAUACCGGAUAAUAUAUUGAACCGCAUGGUUCAAUAGUGAAAGACGGUUUUGCUGUCACUUAUAGAUGGAUCCGCGCCGCAUUAGCUAGUUGGUAAGGUAACGGCUUACCAAGGCGACGAUGCGUAGCCGACCUGAGAGGGUGAUCGGCCACACUGGAACUGAGACACGGUCCAGACUCCUACGGGAGGCAGCAGUAGGGAAUCUUCCGCAAUGGGCGAAAGCUUGACGGAGCAACGCCGCGUGAGUGAUGAAGGUCUUCGGAUCGUAAAACUCUGUUAUUAGGGAAGAACAAAUGUGUAAGUAACUAUGCACGUCUUGACGGUACCUAAUCAGAAAGCCACGGCUAACUACGUG
rnacentral:rRNA from 1 species